rnacentral:rRNA from 1 species
GAUUGAACGCUGGCGGCAGGCCUAACACAUGCAAGUCGAGCGGAUGAAGGGAGCUUGCUCCUGGAUUCAGCGGCGGACGGGUGAGUAAUGCCUAGGAAUCUGCCUGGUAGUGGGGGAUAACGUCCGGAAACGGGCGCUAAUACCGCAUACGUCCUGAGGGAGAAAGUGGGGGAUCUUCGGACCUCACGCUAUCAGAUGAGCCUAGGUCGGAUUAGCUAGUUGGUGGGGUAAAGGCCUACCAAGGCGACGAUCCGUAACUGGUCUGAGAGGAUGAUCAGUCACACUGGAACUGAGACACGGUCCAGACUCCUACGGGAGGCAGCAGUGGGGAAUAUUGGACAAUGGGCGAAAGCCUGAUCCAGCCAUGCCGCGUGUGUGAAGAAGGUCUUCGGAUUGUAAAGCACUUUAAGUUGGGAGGAAGGGCAGUAAGUUAAUACCUUGCUGUUUUGACGUUACCAACAGAAUAAGCACCGGCUAACUUCGUGCCAGCAGCCGCGGUAAUACGAAGGGUGCAAGCGUUAAUCGGAAUUACUGGGCGUAAAGCGCGCGUAGGUGGUUCAGCAAGUUGGAUGUGAAAUCCCCGGGCUCAACCUGGGAACUGCAUCCAAAACUACUGAGCUAGAGUACGGUAGAGGGUGGUGGAAUUUCCUGUGUAGCGGUGAAAUGCGUAGAUAUAGGAAGGAACACCAGUGGCGAAGGCGACCACCUGGACUGAUACUGACACUGAGGUGCGAAAGCGUGGGGAGCAGACAGGAUUAGAUACCCUGGUAGUCCACGCCGUAAACGAUGUCGACUAGCCGUUGGGAUCCUUGAGAUCUUAGUGGCGCAGCUAACGCGAUAAGUCGACCGCCUGGGGAGUACGGCCGCAAGGUUAAAACUCAAAUGAAUUGACGGGGGCCCGCACAAGCGGUGGAGCAUGUGGUUUAAUUCGAAGCAACGCGAAGAACCUUACCUGGCCUUGACAUGCUGAGAACUUUCCAGAGAUGGAUUGGUGCCUUCGGGAACUCAGACACAGGUGCUGCAUGGCUGUCGUCAGCUCGUGUCGUGAGAUGUUGGGUUAAGUCCCGUAACGAGCACAACCCUUGUCCUUAGUUACCAGCACCUCGGGUGGGCACUCUAAGGAGACUGCCGGUGACAAACCGGAGGAAGGUGGGGAUGACGUCAAGUCAUCAUGGCCCUUACGGCCAGGGCUACACACGUGCUACAAUGGUCGGUACAAAGGGUUGCCAAGCCGCGAGGUGGAGCUAAUCCCAUAAAACCGAUCGUAGUCCGGAUCGCAGUCUGCAACUCGACUGCGUGAAGUCGGAAUCGCUAGUAAUCGUGAAUCAGAAUGUCACGGUGAAUACGUUCCCGGGCCUUGUACACACCGCCCGUCACACCAUGGGAGUGGGUUGCUCCAGAAGUAGCUAGUCUAACCGCAAGGGGGACGGUUACCACGGAGUGAUUCAUGACUGGGGUGA